rnacentral:misc_RNA from 1 species
AAGAAGAAUGGCGGGUAUAUAAAAAAAUUUAUCUUUUUAUUAUUUACUCUACUCGAUGCUAUAAAAACUUAAAAACUAUAGCAAGAAGGCAAGAACACUAACGACUAACGAUCACUUUAGUUAUUUAUUUAAUGUGGAUUUAAUGCACAUAGUCUUGUGGAUUUGGUGUCCAUUUUUUGUUACUGAAUUGGUAAAAUCCAAAAUUUCUUUACAGUACAGUAGCAAGUAGGUAUGGAGAAGCAGGAAGACAAUUACACAACAAAUGAAGUAUUCAAUAUAAAAAGCGAAACUGAAUUAGAGAACAAUGGUGUGAACAAUACAGAAUUUCCAGUUAUCAUAAAAAAUGAAUUAAAACAAAUGCUUCUACCUGAAGAUGAUACAACUAAUGAAGAUUCCAAGUGUUGGUUCAACCAAAUGAAUACCGCAGUAUCCAUUGAAAAUGUAAAACAUGAACAAAUUGAAGAUGAUAGUGAUUUGAUGAACUGUAAAAAUUUGAAGUCCGAGCCGAAGAUUAAGGAAGAGGAAGAUGUAAUUGAAGAAAACCAGAGUCAAUGUGUUGUACUCGUUUUAUGCAAAAGUUCUUUUCAGAACUCUGCUAAAAUUAAAAACUGGAAAGCAUGUAGUUUAAGAGCAAAUUAUCCGGACGGGCUAUUAGUUGUCAAAGCCGAGAAAUAAUUGCUAAUGUGUUAGCCUUUAUGAAAAAGGAAGUUGAAGAAGGUGUCACAAUACCUCACCAUCGCAUAAAAGAGCGUGUGGCAGCAGCGACAGGUGUUUCCGAAAGUACAAUUUACAGAGUCUCAGUUGAACAAACAAAAAUUGAAGACGGACAAUGCUCAUCGUUUUCCUCUCCAAGAAAACAUAUUGUAAAAGAAAAAAAGAUGCAGACUAUUGACGAUGUCGACAAAGGGGUUUUAAGGCAUAUUAUUCAUAAUAUGCAUAUAAGUGAUGCAGAAGUACCUCAGCUGAAGAAUAUUCUUUCUAAAGUCAAAGAUCAUGUAGGAUAUCAAGGUAGUCAAGAAUCUUUAAGAUUAAUUAUAAGAGACAUUGGAUUCCGUUGGGAGAAAAACAAAAACCAAUAGAAAACUUCUAAUGGAGAGACAUGACAUCCAAAAGCUUCGUAUACACUAUUUAAAAGCUAUUAAUAGGUACCGAGAAGAAGGUCGCCCUAUAGUGUAUAUGGAUGAAACAUACAUCCACUCAACACAUACCACACGCAAAAGUUGGAGUGAUGAUUCGAAGGAAGGUGUAAGCAGCCCACAUCAAAAGGAAAUCGUUUGAAUAUUGUGCAU